UAGGUGGGUGAUCUUUAACUAUGGAUAUAUACUAAGGUGCCUUGAAAUAAAUACAGGAGGAUGAAUGAAAGAGUUUGGAGUGCUUCGAGAUUUGUGAAGUUGAUGAUUCUUAACUAUAGGUUACAUACUAAGGAUGCUUUGAAAUCUAUGCAAAUAGACAAAUGAAGGCAUUCGGAGUACUUUGAGAUCUAUGUCAUUGGUGAUUUUUAAUUAUGGGUCAUAUAUUAAAAGGAUUUUGAGAUCUGUGCAGG
rnacentral:lncRNA from 1 species